CAGUCGCCGCGGGAAUACGUAGGGUGCAAGCGUUGUCCGGAAUUAUUGGGCGUAAAGAGCUCGUAGGCGGUUUGUCGCGUCUGCUGUGAAAUCCCGAGGCUCAACCUCGGGCUUGCAGUGGGUACGGGCAGACUAGAGUGCGGUAGGGGAGAUUGGAAUUCCUGGUGUAGCGGUGGAAUGCGCAGAUAUCAGGAGGAACACCGAUGGCGAAGGCAGAUCUCUGGGCCGUAACUGACGCUGAGGAGCGAAAGCGUGGGGAGCGAACAGGAUUAGAUACCCCCGUAGUCCCUGUCUCUUAUAC
rnacentral:rRNA from 1 species